rnacentral:rRNA from 1 species
UGAACGCUAGCGACAGGCUUAACACAUGCAAGUCGAGGGGCAGCACAGGUAGCAAUACCGGGUGGCGACCGGCGCACGGGUGAGUAACGCGUAUGCAACUUGCCUAUCAGAGGGGGAUAACCCGGCGAAAGUCGGACUAAUACCGCAUGAAGCAGGGGCCCCGCAUGGGGAUAUUUGCUAAAGAUUCAUCGCUGAUAGAUAGGCAUGCGUUCCAUUAGGCAGUUGGCGGGGUAACGGCCCACCAAACCGACGAUGGAUAGGGGUUCUGAGAGGAAGGUCCCCCACAUUGGUACUGAGACACGGACCAAACUCCUACGGGAGGCAGCAGUGAGGAAUAUUGGUCAAUGGCCGAGAGGCUGAACCAGCCAAGUCGCGUGAGGGAUGAAGGUUCUAUGGAUCGUAAACCUCUUUUAUAAGGGAAUAAAGUGCGGGACGUGUCCCGUUUUGUAUGUACCUUAUGAAUAAGGAUCGGCUAACUCCGUGCCAGCAGCCGCGGUAAUACGGAGGAUCCGAGCGUUAUCCGGAUUUAUUGGGUUUAAAGGGUGCGUAGGCGGCCUUUUAAGUCAGCGGUGAAAGUCUGUGGCUCAACCAUAGAAUUGCCGUUGAAACUGGGGGGCUUGAGUAUGUUUGAGGCAGGCGGAAUGCGUGGUGUAGCGGUGAAAUGCAUAGAUAUCACGCAGAACCCCGAUUGCGAAGGCAGCCUGCCAAGCCAUUACUGACGCUGAUGCACGAAAGCGUGGGGAUCAAACAGGAUUAGAUACCCUGGUAGUCCACGCAGUAAACGAUGAUCACUAGCUGUUUGCGAUACACUGUAAGCAGCACAGCGAAAGCGUUAAGUGAUCCACCUGGGGAGUACGCCGGCAACGGUGAAACUCAAAGGAAUUGACGGGGGCCCGCACAAGCGGAGGAACAUGUGGUUUAAUUCGAUGAUACGCGAGGAACCUUACCCGGGUUUGAACGCAUUCGGACCGAGGUGGAAACACCUUUUCUAGCAAUAGCCGUUUGCGAGGUGCUGCAUGGUUGUCGUCAGCUCGUGCCGUGAGGUGUCGGCUUAAGUGCCAUAACGAGCGCAACCCUUGCCACUAGUUACUAACAGGUAAAGCUGAGGACUCUGGUGGGACUGCCAGCGUAAGCUGCGAGGAAGGCGGGGAUGACGUCAAAUCAGCACGGCCCUUACAUCCGGGGCGACACACGUGUUACAAUGACGUGGACAAAGGGAGGCCACCUGGCGACAGGGAGCGAAUCCCCAAACCACGUCUCAGUUCGGAUCGGAGUCUGCAACCCGACUCCGUGAAGCUGGAUUCGCUAGUAAUCGCGCAUCAGCCAUGGCGCGGUGAAUACGUUCCCGGGCCUUGUACACACCGCCCGUCAAGCCAUGGGAGCCGGGGGUACCUGAAGUCCGUAACCGAAAGGAUCGGCCUAGGGUAAAACUGGUGACUGGGGCUAA